ensembl:lncRNA
AGCGAAUGGUACAUUCCGGCCCUGCUCCUCGCUGUGUGUGUGUUGUCGCUUCCGAGCGGAUUCAACCGCCAAGUAAGUUACAUAUUUUUUUCGCCAUGUCACGCUAAAGUAGUUUUUAGACCAGUUUAUUUUGAUAGAAACCCGCAUUUGCGAGACACGCGCCGCUGGAUACAGCUCCUGAAAUGAGAGCCCGUCGUGUUUUUCUUUAGGAGAUACGUGGUUUUUUGUUGUUGCGGGAGAGCUAAUGUUGGUCAGUGAAGCCCGGAGCCUCAUGUUUUCCUCGGGCCAGGAGGAGCACUGCGCCCCGUCCAAAGACCCGGUGCAGUACGGCGAGCUGGUGGUGCUCGGACAAACAUCGACUUGUGUGCAGCGUGAUCUUCUAGAUUUAAUCGGGGGAUGAAAAGGAAACACAUCGAGCCCUGUUGAGAUUCACGAGAUUCAAGAUCAGACACGCGUGGAACCGAGAGAAGCGUUCAUGAAACGUCUCCCGGGUCAGGCCCGGUCAAAAAAACCCAAUCUAGCUACCGUUAGAACCCACCGCCCCCCCCUCCUCUUCUAUUAAGAUCCGGUGUAGGGCAACUCAAGUAACCCGGAACACAGCCGCUUUGACCGGGGCGCUCGUUCCGAUCUUAAAAGUCAGGAAUUCGGAAGUGGGUAUGGGCCCCCCCUCCCUUCCCCUCCCCUCCCCUCCCACGGGGCCCCGGGGUUCCUCCUAGUGUCUCAACUGUCUGUAGCUGUGGCUCGCACGCAUCCACGCUUUUCCAGCGCGCAUGCACUUACAAGGCCAUGGUUUGAACCACUUGCACGAUGCCGGAACUGAUCCAAAGACCACCGAGGCGUCCAAAUAGUUUAAUGUCCCACGUCACGUGGUCAGGUAGUAAAGGACAGCAGCACGGAGGGGAGGGGGGGGGGGGGGGUAUGGAUGAUCCUUUAAAAUCACCACAUCCAUGGGAAUCUUUACAUCAUAAUAAAAGGUAAACGUGGAGUACCUGGAAGGAAACAACCUAGUCGUUCUUAUCUGAGGCAGCAAAUGAUACACUAGAACACUUUUAUAAUACAAUAAUAAUAGUUGCUGAUUGAUUUAAUUAUUUGUUUCAAACAUGCUGCGUAAGACAAUGUGUCGCCAGAAAGGGAGCUCUGUAUGAACACUGGUUAGAAAGUUUGUUUUUAUAUAUAUAUAUAUAUAGAGAGAGAGAGAGAGAUUACUUGUCUGCAGGCUUGUGUUUGAAGCACAUGAAAUGAAACCCAUAUAAAGGUUGUACACACAGAUCAUAGUCGUGUGCUUUGGUGCUUUGCCCUCCACACAAACCCUCACGGCCACACUGCUUAUUACAGGCGACAAAAAGCGCUGACUGCUUAUUACCCUCCGGGCUGAGCACAUGGCAUGUUUGCAGCGGAUGCUUUUGUUCCCCCCCCCCACCUCCUCCCCCUCCUCCCCGGCAUAAAGACACGUAUUUGAAUCAGACGUGUCGGGUGUGUAAUCACUGCAAUGACAUCACACCCCACUGAUAAAACUGAUGGUAGACAAGAUGGCUGAUGGCGUGGAGCAACGUUUGUUUUAGCGGCCCUUCCCUCGGCGCUUUGUUGCCGUGAGCCUGGUGGCUUUUAUUACUUGCAUGGAUGCCCCCCCCCCACACACACACACACAUUCCCAUGUCUGCCCGGACAGAUUGGCCUGGUGCUGGUCAGUGAGAAGGGGGUGUAUCCUGGAACUCAAAGGACGGAUUGAUCGGGACUCGGCCUUCGCCUCCUCUCAGCUUCCUCUGUCCAUUGUGACUGGGAGACUGGGCCCUUUGAUGGAACUUUGUACAUUUCUCCCUGAAGAGCCCCCCCUUUGUAAAGGAAGUAUACAAAUC